rnacentral:rRNA from 1 species
CCUACGGGAGGCAGCAGUGAGGAAUAUUGGUCAAUGGACGAGAGUCUGAACCAGCCAAGUAGCGUGAAGGAUGACUGCCCUAUGGGUUGUAAACUUCUUUUAUAUGGGAAUAAACUGUUCCACGUGUGGGAUUUUGUAUGUACCCUAUGAAUAAGGAUCGGCUAACUCCGUGCCAGCAGCCGCGGUAAUACGGAGGAUCCGAGCGUUAUCCGGAUUUAUUGGGUUUAAAGGGAGCGUAGGUGGAUUGUUAAGUCAGUUGUGAAAGUUUGCGGCUCAACCGUAAAAUUGCAGUUGAAACUGGCAGUCUUGAGUACAGUAGAGGUGGGCGGAAUUCGUGGUGUAGCGGUGAAAUGCUUAGAUAUCACGAAGAACUCCGAUUGCGAAGGCAGUUCACUGGACUGCAACUGACACUGAGGCUCGAAAGUGUGGGUAUCAAACAGGAUUAGAUACCCUAGUAGUC